UACAGAGACUGCGAGCGUUAUUCGGAUUCACUGGGCGUAAAGGGUGCGCAGGCGGCCGUGUGUGUGAGGCGUGAAAGCCCGGGGCUUAACCCCGGAAUUGCACCUCAAACUACACGGCUAGAGCAUUGGAGAGGGUAGCGGAAUUCACGGUGUAGCAGUGAAAUGCGUAGAUAUCGUGAGGAACACCAGAGGCGAAGGCGGCUACCUGGACAAUUGCUGACGCUCAGGCACGAAAGCGUGGGAAGCAAACAGG
rnacentral:rRNA from 1 species